GGGCGGCGGGGGACCCGUGGGUAGGAAGCGCCUUCUUUGGAGGCGGGGGAGUAAGGGGAGGCUCCGGUCCCCAAAGAACCCCCACCCCCACCCCGAACACACUGUCUGCUCGUUUCCCGCUCUCGAUCUCCCUGCGCGCCGGCUCCCAGGGUUCUGCGAGUCGGUGGCUGACCCCCGGUGUGUCCUGGGCUGCGUACCGGCCCUGCCCUCAGGGGACCCCCAGUCAGUCCUGCCGCACACAGACGCCAUCAACCAACAUCCCAACACCGGGAACACUUGAGAGAGAGAGGACUCAUUGUCCUGGAAACCUGGAGCCACAUAUAAUUCCUACACCUACCCUGGACUCUGGGUUUCUUGGCAACCAAGGGGCCAGGAUCCUGCCACCAGACCGUCAGUUCCAUCAUCCAGGAUGUGAUGGGCAGGAAGAAGGGGCAGAGUCUUCCCCCAGGGUGUCCUGGUCUCAGGGCGGGUCCUAGAAGGUCCCUUCUCAUAUUAAAUCCGAGAUGUGAUACCUCUGCCUUGGGGAACGCAGGCGGUCCUUCCAAGGGCCCAUGGCUGGCGGCAGGCAGGGCUGAUGUUUGAGCCCAAGGAACGUGACCCCACGGCCCAGCUCCCCACUGUUUCCGGGGCUUCUGGGCAGGGCUGAGUGGGAUGGGACUUCAUGUACAUUCACCUGCUUACCCCUCUUGGCAACCCCAGGAGAGGGGCUGGUGUUCGGAUCCCAUUUUACAGCUGGGGAAACUGAGCCUCACAGAGGUGAAGCCACGGGAUGUGAUGAAGGCCGAUCCUGGGUCCAAGGAAUCUCACUCGCCACUCUGUCUUCCCACCAGCGCGGGACUCUGCGCCUCCCUCUGCAUUGCCUGAGGACCUCACAGGCUCCAUCAGGCAGCCGGUCCUUGUCAGGUCCCUAGGGGCACCGAGGUACAGAGGGGACAGCUUCAGCGCAGGCAACCUCCAGGACCACGGGGCCUCCAUGCAAUCGUGGUCGUGCCAAGCCUGGCUAGGGAGGCAGAGAGAAGGACCACGAGCAGCCAAUUCUGAGAGAAGCCAGCCUGGGUGCCAGUUCCCACGCCCUCCUUUGGACAUCUCCCACCUGUGCGUCCUGUGCGCAUGGCCACAGAAACAGAACCGAGACUGAAUCCAGUCCUGUCCCUCCUCCAAGGCUUGCGCUUAGCGGGUCUGAGUUAAGGUCAGGGACACCUCUCUGCCUCCCCAUGUGGGGCCUCAGUGACCAGCCAGCCCCUGCCCCAUCCCCACGGCCCAGCAGGCAGUUUGCGCGUUGCCACCCAGGAGAGAGGACUGGGCUCCCCUCAAACAGACUCACCUCACCCAGGAAGCUGCCAGCCCAGAGCUGGUUCUGUCUGCUCUCGGUCUCCUCGUGGCGGUCUCGGGAUCGAGAAGCGGCGGCUUGCGGAGACUCCGGUGGACCAGACUUCUGCGCGUGCGUGGCGUGGAGUCCUCCCAUUGGCCCAGGCAGAUGCCUCGUUUGGAAACCGUACCCAAGAAGUGCCUGCUCCAUUCCCCAGCCUUCUCCACGUGCCUGCCUGCGACCAGGAGGGAAGCAUGGGGACCAGUUGUGGACUCACUGCACCAACACCCCAACGUGGCUGUCACAGCAGGUCAUACCUACAGCCUGCACUGCAGCCCCGUGUGUCUGCCUGCAGAGACAAGAGGCACACGGAAAUGACAUGGCCAGGGGGUUGGGGCCCUGAUGAGGGGCCAGGGCACGCGAGGCAGAACUGCCACCUGCUGGCGGACAUCGGCAAGGGCAGCCGGCCACCAGCUCACUUUCUUUGGUCUGGUCACAAGUGUGUUAGGGCCCCUCCUUUUGCUGUCUCGGUGGGAGUUGGGGUCGGGUGGGGGGUCUUUGCGUUUUUUUCUGUACAUUUCCAUCACCCCCCAAAAAAGUCGCCCUUUGCAGUCCACUCCCAUACCCUUGUCCUAAGCAAACAGAAUAUUUUUGCACAUUCUAGAACUUCAUGUAUAGACAACUGAAUUGCUAUACUUUGGGGGUCUGGUACAUUGUUUCUGAUUCAACCAUGUUGGUGUUAGGGGUUUGUUUCUUUUAAUCGGUGAGCGGAGCGGGUGUACCAUUUGUUUAUCUGAGAAACAGACUCACAGACAUAGAGAACAGACUUGUGG